GUUCUGGGUCAGCUGGCUCCAACACAGAGAGAUCAUGGCAGAGGGGCAAGGUGGAGGAAAGCUGCCUCCUCCUGGUGGCCAGAAAAAGAAGAUAUGUCCAGGAACAAGAAUAAAGUGAAGAAAGGAGGGCUGGGGAUUUAGCUCAGUGGCACAGCACCUGCCUGGCAAAUGUGAGGUCCUGAGUUCAAUCCCUAGUACUUAAAAAGAAAAAGGGAUGAUUCACAUGUUUGAUGAGAGGGAGCAGGCCAGUGUGAGAUUUCAUUUCACUUCUCAGAAAGGCACACCAUUCAAAAUUUAUUGAUUGCUUAUUUCUGUAAUUUUCUGCUAAGACAGUGUUUGAUCACAAGUGGCUGUAACCACUGACAGUGAAGCUGUAGAUAAGGUGAAAUUACUAUACACACACACUCAUACACACACAUAUAUAUAUUCUCUCUGUGUGUAUGUGUAUGUGCACACACAGAUAUGCCUAUGUGUAUAAUUACCACUUCAUAAUCAUUUAUAUGUCCUUAGUUUCUCAUUUGGGUCUACUCAAUAUCUUGGUGCUCAGACACUAUUCAUUUUCUUUAUCUGAAAGAGAAUUUCUCCUGCUUCUUUAUUCUUAGUUUAUAAAAAAAAAAAUAAGACAUUGAACCUGGGUUUUCCCUCCUAGCUGACUAGCGCUCAGAAGACCUCUUAGCUUGUUGACUUUGUUUCUGAGUUAUCUGUGUUUAAAGCAAAUUUAUCCAACUCCCCACUACCUCUUCUCUCACCCAAAAUGCAGAUGUCAGUGCUGUCAGGUCUGCCCUCAUCUCUGCACCCACAGGAGACAGGAAAGAGUGAGGGAGAGCAGUUACAGUCCCCUUGGAGGGCCCUGUGGGACCUGCCUGCUCCCUGGAGCUCACUGUUCCCAAAAUGACGAUGGUGCUGGGAUCCACCCAAGUCCCCAGUACAACCUGCUGCUCUCUGGACUCAUUGUUGUGCUCUUAUUCCAGACAUUGCUGAAGCACUUCAAUAGGACCAGAGAUUGCAAGGACUGCUAGAGGAAGGCUGUCAUCUUAGUGCUUGCAUGUCAGGUUCAGGAGAGGGUGGAUAGCAGGAAGGAGAAAAUCAGAUAGAAAGUGGGGGGUCUAAGUGUGGUGAAACACCUCCAUCUCAGUGGUGUGUGGUCUUUGUGUACUGUGGACUUCUCCAGAGGUCCCAGGUUUUGGAUGUGCCUGCAGGGAUCAUGAGGGGGACCUCUUUGCAUUUUUCAACCCACUGCACUUGCCCUGUGGUCCACCAGGUCAAAGCUCUGAGGGCUGCACCUGGACCUGGGGAGCAGGAUAUAAGCUGGCACUGGUAAGUCCCUGUAUGUUCCCCUCUGUCUUUGUCUUGCCCUUUUCACUGAUGCCACAGAAAUUACCAUUUUUCACUUUCAACUUGUUUGCUAUCAUUUUCCUGAACUUGGCUGUAAGGUCUAGGACUGUUUUGUUCAUGCUGUAGUCCUGAAACACCAACAUCUCUGCCAGAGCCCAUCACUGAUUUUGGGUGCAGCAUUGUCUUAUCAUAAUAUGACUCCACUCCCUGCAUCAAUAUCAUCAUGCUGUCCCUCUAGUCAGAAGCUCAAUGUCUUUAGUCUACCCU
rnacentral:lncRNA from 1 species